GUCGGGAUAGCUCAGUGUNGGUA
rnacentral:tRNA from 1 species